UUUUGAAACGUGAUGAAGCAUUUGCGGAUGUAAAUGAGACCUCAAAGAGGCUCGCAGUCCGAGAGCGCAUAACCCCCUGUGGAUCUUUCCGUUGCCUUCCUUCUGACCCUAU
rnacentral:snoRNA from 1 species